rnacentral:rRNA from 1 species
CCUACGGGGGGCUGCAGUGGGGAAUAUUGGACAAUGGGCGAAAGCCUGAUCCAGCCAUGCCGCGUGUGUGAAGAAGGCCUUCGGGUUGUAAAGCACUUUCAGUGGGGAAGAAAGCCUUGGGGCUAAUACCCUCGAGGAAGGACAUCACCCACAGAAGAAGCACCGGCUAACUCCGUGCCAGCAGCCGCGGUAAUACGGAGGGUGCGAGCGUUAAUCGGAAUUACUGGGCGUAAAGCGCGCGUAGGCGGUCUGAUAAGCCGGUUGUGAAAGCCCCGGGCUCAACCUGGGAACGGCAUCCGGAACUGUCAGGAUAGAGUGCAGGAGAGGAAGGUAGAAUUCCCGGUGUAGCGGUGACAGGCGUAGAGAUCGGGAGGAAUACCAGUGGCGAGGGCGGCCUUCUGGACUGACACUGACGCUGAGGUGCGAAAGCGUGGGUAGCAAACAGGAUUAGAUACCCUAGUAGUC